GUAUCUUGUAAAACUACCUGUCAGCAGCGCUGUUGUUUACAGCUUGUGUAUUGCAUCAUGAAAUCUCACCUGCCAAGAAUCCAUUUUCUUAAUCAUAUUCUAAUAAGUCCUGAGUGAAGUGUUUAAGACUGAAGAGGUUCAUCAAGUGCAAGCUGUAUGUUCCUAGUGGAAGAGCCAGGCCAGUACAUGGUGGAGCACGGUUUGCACAGGUGAGGUGUGUCUUCCUCCACCACAGAACCUGCUGUAGCUCACGUCUGCUACAUGUGUGCCUGCCUCGGCCAUGUUAUUGUAUAAAUAAAUCGGCCCAUAUCUGUGACAUUUUAUGGCCCUGAGUAUA